AAAUUGAAGAGUUUGAUCAUGGCUCAGAUUGAACGCUGGCGGCAGGCCUAACACAUGCAAGUCGAACGGUAGCACAGAGAGCUUGCUCUCGGGUGACGAGUGGCGGACGGGUGAGUAAUGUCUGGGAAACUGCCUGAUGGAGGGGGAUAACUACUGGAAACGGUGGCUAAUACCGCAUAACGUCGCAAGACCAAAGAGGGGGACCUUCGGGCCUCUUGCCAUCAGAUGUGCCCAGAUGGGAUUAGCUGGUUGGUGAGGUAACGGCUCACCAAGGCGACGAUCCCUAGCUGGUCUGAGAGGAUGACCAGCCACACUGGAACUGAGACACGGUCCAGACUCCUACGGGAGGCAGCAGUGGGGAA
rnacentral:rRNA from 1 species